rnacentral:rRNA from 1 species
CCUCAAAUCAGGUAGGACUACCCGCUGAACUUAAGCAUAUCAAUAAGCGGAGGAAAAGAAACUAACGAGGAUUCCCCUAGUAACUGCGAGUGAAGCGGGAAAAGCUCAAAUUUAAAAUCUGGCAGUCUUUGGCUGUCCGAGUUGUAAUCUAGAGAAGUGCUAUCCGCGCUGGACCGUGUAUAAGUCUCCUGGAACGGAGCGUCGUAGAGGGUGAGAAUCCCGUCUUUGACACGGACUACCAGGGCUUUGUGAUGUGCUCUCAAAGAGUCGAGUUGUUUGGGAAUGCAGCUCAAAAUGGGUGGUAAAUUCCAUCUAAAGCUAAAUACAGGCGAGAGACCGAUAGCGAACAAGUACCGUGAGGGAAAGAUGAAAAGAACUUUGGAAAGAGAGUUAAACAGUACGUGAAAUUGUUGAAAGGGAAACGCUUGAAGUCAGUCGCGUCCUUCAAAGAUCAACCUGGCCUUUUCGCUUGGUGCACUCUUUGGAGGACGGGUCAGCAUCAGUUUCGACCGGGAGAAAAAGUUGGUGGGGAGGUGGCACCUUCGGGUGUGUUAUAACCUGCUUGCAUAUAUCCUGGUUGGGACUGAGGAACGCGGCACGCCGAAAGGCCGGACUUUGUAACCACGUACGUGCUUAGGAUGCUGGCAUAAU